ensembl:snRNA U6 U6 spliceosomal RNA
GUGCUCAUGGUGGCAGCACAUAUACUAAAAUUGGAAUAAUACAGAGAUUAGCAUGGCCCCUGCACAAGGAUGACACGCGAACAUAUGAAGUGGUUCAUGUCUUU